GAUGAACGCUGGCGGCGUGCCUAAUACAUGCAAGUCGAGCGAACAGACGAGGAGCUUGCUCCUCUGACGUUAGCGGCGGACGGGUGAGUAACACGUGGAUAACCUACCUAUAAGACUGGGAUAACUUCGGGAAACCGGAGCUAAUACCGGAUAAUAUAUUGAACCGCAUGGUUCAAUAGUGAAAGACGGUUUUGCUGUCACUUAUAGAUGGAUCCGCGCCGCAUUAGCUAGUUGGUAAGGUAACGGCUUACCAAGGCAACGAUGCGUAGCCGACCUGAGAGGGUGAUCGGCCACACUGGAACUGGGACGCGGUCCAGACUCCUACGGGAGGCAGCAGUCGGGAAUCUUCCGCAAUGGGCGAAGGCCUGACGGAGCAACGCCGCGUGAGUGAUGAAGGUCUUCGGAUCGUAAAACUCUGUUAUUAGGGAAGAACAAAUGUGUAAGUAACUAUGCACGUCUUGACGGUACCUAAUCAGAAAGCCACGGCUAACUACGUG
rnacentral:rRNA from 1 species